rfam:Hespellia stercorisuis DSM 15480 genome assembly, contig: EJ65DRAFT_scaffold00067.67
UGAUGCCAGGGUAAAAAGGUCAUGCGUUUCGUGCUUGCACGAAAAAGCAUGAAUUUGGGACCCGCAAAACAUGAGAAAGUAGCCCGAUUAGGGCGGAUUUCGAAUGUUUUUAGGAUUAUGCCAGCACGAAGUGCGGAAUAAUCCGUAGGUAUCA